rnacentral:rRNA from 1 species
UACGAGGGAUGCAAGCGUUAUCCGGAAUUAUUGGGCGUAAAGAGUUUGUAGGCGGUCAAGUGUGUUUAAUGUUAAAUCUUAAAGCUUAACUUUGAAACUGCGUUAAAAACUGCUUGUCUUGAGUAUGGUAGGGGUAAAGGGAAUUCCCAGUGUAGCGGUGAAAUGCGUAGAUAUUGGGAAGAACACUAAACAGCGAAGGCACUUUACUAGGCUAAUACUGACGCUGAGAAACGAAAGGUAAGGUAGCGAAACGG